GCCUUCGUGGUGUAAUGGUCAGCACACUGAGCCGGUAUUUCAGAGGUCCGUGGUUCGAUCCCCAGCGAAGACA
rnacentral:tRNA from 1 species